rnacentral:rRNA from 1 species
GACGAACCGAGCGAACGUUGUUCGGAAUCACUGGGCUUAAAGGGCGCGUAGGCGGCUUGCCAAGUCAGGGGUGAAAUCUUUCGGCUCAACCGGAAAAGUGCCUUUGAUACUGGCAGGCUCGAGCGAGGUAGGGGCAUGCGGAACUUCCGGUGGAGCGGUGAAAUGUGUUGAUAUCGGAAGGAACACCGAUGGCGAAAGCAGCGUGCUGGACCUCUUCUGACGCUGAGGCGCGAAAGCUAGGGUAGCGAACGGG